UAAGGCAAAUCAUCCCAAUGCCUCGCAAUAUGGAUUUAUGUCAACUAUAGAUUUGGCGGUGUGACUCUUGAAACUUUCUUGAUGAUUUGUGGCUUUGUUACCGUGUCGAAAGGCCCUCCUCCCGUGGUCCGUGAGACCACGGAGGGCUUGCUCUAUCAUGUAAUCUGUUCUUUUUCCUCUGCCCAUUUAUAUGCCGGGCCUUAUGCUGCUGCACUGCACUGUUCUUCCAAGUUACGGUUAUAAAUAAUCAAAUGUUCUGUUUGGAUUCGUCACAAGGCUGGUGUGUAAUUCAGCAUGGCAGUCUAUCUGCAUAUCUGUUGGAUAUGAUCUCUACCGUGUCUUUUUGUCGGGUGAAAUUUCUGUUAUGUGUGUUAGCUCUCUUGCUGUGCUGUGCUCUACCAACCGCACCAACAUCUUUUGACUGCUAAACAGUUGAAAUGUGUACUACUAUAUAAAUAGGAUAUGAUGCUGAUGGCGACCAUGAUGCCGAGAGAAAGCAAUGGACAUGAGGCAAAGCAUUCAGCAUUUGUACGCUACAUUACUUUAGUGCUUUGCUUGUGGCCUGUGAAUGCAAACCCUUGUUCGGGUCCAAUCAUUUAUCAGACCACCAGACAACAAGAAUUUCUUUCCCCAUAUUCCAAAAAUUCACACUUGAAAUCAUGAAGCUGCGUAGAUCAAUUUUCACACCAUAAGGAGUAUAAGAUUUUUAGUACGGCAGUUGCCGACAGCCCAAAACACAGGAAAUGAACUGUAUUUCGAUGGAAAUUGUUCUGCUCGUUACCUACAAAUCGAGUACAUCUACAAGGAACUUUCCUCUGGAAUCCCUCGUUCCAACUGCAGGAACAAAAUGAGCCCCAUGUGCUCGGUAUCAUCUCAAAGGCUGCCAAAUUUUCUUGUUCCUGAUGUAAAAUAUGUAUGAAGAAACAGCAAAGAAAGCCAUCACCGCCGAGGACAGUCAACAUCUGCAACCCCCACGAGUAACACGGCACGCAUCCAACAAACCUCCGAAACUUUCAACUCAGCAGAGCACGAGGCAGGCAGACCGAGGCAACGAAACCAGCUCCUCAGAUAAACUCGAAAGCGUGUCACAUUGAUAUAAUCUGGUCUAACCAUGGCAGUUCAUAUAAACGACUCUUUCUCGGCCUAGUUCAGCAGAGUUACAAAGCUACACCAUAAACACUCAUUCCACAACAACCAACACCCAGGGAGCAAGAAGAGCGUGCACCGACCAAGCGAAAAACGGUUUCGGCGUCGUACGCCAAAGCUAUCUAAAACAUGAACCAACCAACGAACGGAACAAGGGCGGGGUGCUUCAGGCGCCGGGGCCACCCCCUGAAUCCAUCAGAACCGGCGGACUCCGCGGUCGAAGACCCUGGCCGAGGGGCACUCGUAUGACAUGUGGCCCCUGCCGCCGCAGGUGUCGCAGAUGACAGUGGCCAUGCAGUUGCGGCUGAUGUGGCCUGGCUGGCCGCACAUGCGGCACGAUAUGUCGCGGAAGGGCCCACCAUGGAUCUCCGAGGCCAGGGUCGUCGUCUUCGGGCAGGCGCGGGCCAGGUGGCCCGACACGUUGCAGAGGUUGCAGAUGGGGUCAUUCUUGCACUCGCGGGCUAUGUGGCCGGGCUGGCGGCAGUUGUUGCAGGCGCGGUCGUUGGUGCAGUCUACCGCGAUGUGUCCCGGCUUAAAGCAGUUGUUGCAUAGCUUGGCGUUGGACCCUGAGGCGGGGCAGUCGCGCGCCAUAUGCCCCGUCUUGCUGCAAGUGUGGCACAAGGCCUCGUUCUUGCAUUCAGUGGCAAUGUGCCCAGACUUCUUGCAGUUCCAGCAAACUGUUUUGGAAGUGCAUUCUGCUGCAAAGUGCCUGACAAAAGAUAUAUUUAAACAAGAGUUAUGGCCCAACUUUUUAGAAAUUAGCCAAAAGAGACAAGCAAUAAUAAAGAGAACUGCAUACUGAUCCCCACAAAGUUGAAAAAAGUACAGGUGUACAAGUACAGUAAGAGAGUGCUGAAAGUUCACUUUACCCUGGAAGAUUACAAUUAUUGCAGGUAGAAGCAGAUGGGCAAUCCCUAGCAAUGUGGCCAGGUCUCCUGCAGUUCUUGCAAAUAAUAUCCCUGGAAAAUCAUUCAAGUUAAACAUGGCCAUUUUUCCAUCAAAGGACGACAGAUAUAUUAUGAUGAUGACAAAAGUAUAAUAUUUCCACAACUCACUAACAAAGAGCAUAUCAAGAUAAAUAUUUUCCCUAUUCCACUGGAACCCAGUGAUCUGUGUGCAUGUACAGUGGUUGAUAAGGCAGUCUUCUCUUAAACGCGCCACGUAAGCUAGAGAUGACAAAUAAAAUAUAAUGGACAAUGGGUGAUUUCUUAGUCUUAUCUCUAAUAACUAGAUAUACCUAAAUAUGUGCGGAGAGAUAUCGUUGCUUAAGAGAUCAUCUCUUAAUUAAGAGAACGCAAGCCUUUUUUUUUAAACGCGGUCUUUUAUGGCCCGAUUCAUUAAAAAAGGUAGAAGAUAGUUGCCUAGUUAAUUAACGGAAACCCGGGCGAAAACCGUUACAACUUACAACACGUCCCCAAUUGGGCACCAUCAACACACACACCGACCCCGGGGCCACACAACAGACGAGCCGCCGGCUCCGUUACCCAAGUAACUCCCUACAACCAAAACCAAAGCCACCGCUCCGGCAUCCACACCGACCCCGAGGUCGUGCACCAGGCGAGCCGACUGCUCUGCCACCCAAGCAACCAAAGCCGACAACCUACAACCAUCUCCGGAGUCGCCGCUCCUGCGUACAGAUGAAAAUCACACAUGCCGACCCUGAGGCCGCACACCAGCUUCGUCACCCGAGCAACCAGAGCCGACACCCAACAACCAGAUCCAGAGCUGCCACUCCGAUUUCCACGCCAACCCCGAGGCCGCGCACCAGGCUGACCAACGACACUGCCACCCACGUGACCAAUGCCGACACCCCUCCACGAUGACGAGAUCCGGAGUUGCCGCUCCGACUUCCACGCCGGCCCCAAGGCCACGCACCACCCGAGCCGAUGGCUGCCCAGGCCAAGAUCACUCCAGAACGAUGCCUCCAAGAAGGAACGCGACACUAGAGCACUGUCAUCGUCCGCUCCAGGAACCUGGAACUGGGGUUUCCCCCAGAGUGCGAGAGAAGAGGUUGUAGGUCCUCGAACAACGACGCCUCCAAGAAGGUGCGCCCACAGGCAUGGCCAUCGUCGGCUCCGGCCAAGGCAAGGGCAAGGCUUUCACCCCGAGAAGCCAACAGAAGCCCUCCCCUCAAAACGGCACACAGGAGCCACCGCCCGCCUGAACAACCACCCGCCUCCAGAGCCCAGAGUCACCGAUGAGAACAGCCCUGUCGCCGCCACCCGCACCAUGCAGAGCCGCCGACUAGGCUACCACAUCACCACUGCAAGAGUCAGAACUAGCCACGAGUAGUCAGAUCCGACGCCCCGCACAACAGCUACAGCCAACCCACCAGCCAGCACCAAGUGUCCCUCGUGCAACUGAGGGCCGACGCACUGCCGCAAAGUACUAACGCCCCCGAGCUCCGGCCAUGGCGCUGCCCACGCAGCCACCACGGCCGCCGUCGCCAAAGAAGAGGUCCGGGGCCGCCGCCCCGGCGUCCGAGCACCACCCGCCAUCACGGCCUCAUAUCCGCCCCGCUGCAGCAGCAGCACAUCCCCGCACGCUCGCCCCCGCGUGCGUCGGUCCUUGUUCGCGACCCCAUGAGGUAGAUCCGCGACGCCGGCCUCAAGAGCGCCAGCACCGCACCUCCAGCGCAGCCACCCACGAGCAAACACACCCGCCCGCCUUCGAGGGCCUUAGCCCGCACCUCCCGCCGCAGCCACUGCACCGCUAGAGGGGGCGUUGUUGAGCGGCAGAAGCAGCCCGCCCACUCAGCCACCCGCCGGAUCCACGUAGCUAGAGCCACCAGGGGCCGGAUCUAGGCCGCGGGAGCAGCCGUUGACUCGCAGCACCUGUGCCCCCAUCCACCACCUGCGCACGUGGGGAAAGCCACUGGCCGACAGGGGGCUUUGCCCGCUGGCGUGCACCGGCGACGCCGAGAGGGAGGGAGGGGAUGGGUGGUGGUGGUGGCACCGGCGCUGGGUUCCGCCCGUGCCGCUCCUAGGAGCGACGCGGGGGCGAGAAGGUGGAACCGCAAGCUUUUUUGGGGUUUCUCUCUCCUCCACAUCAGCACUUAUCCUACAGGGCACUCCAAAGAUAGCACCAUUGUACACGCCCUUCAGGCUUUUUGCUCUUUGAUGUGCUUUUUCAGUGGAUUGCGGAGUACUAGCACUAACAUACACCUUAGUAAAUCUAUAAAGUAGUGUGCUACAAGUUAUAGAUGGGGGGAGGGGGGUCCACACCAUACAACAUAAUGCAGUGAGGGUGGUUAUGGUACUACCUCCGUCCUAGUUUAUUGGUCCCUUUCGUAUUUAGUGUAAAAUUUUGACCAUAGAUUUAACUAACAAAAUAUCAAUGCAUGUCACAGAAAAUGAUAUCAUUUGAAACUAUGUUCAAAUACGAAUCCAACAAUAUAAUUUUUGCUGACAUGCAUUAACAUUUUGUUAGUAAAAUAUAUGGUCAAAAUUUGACACAAAAUACAAAGGGGACUGAUAAACCAGGACGGAGGUAGUAUUAUAGAAACAACACAGACCUGUAAUGGCGUCAUACUGUAAGAACAUGGAAACAUCACAUUCAAUUCAUACUUCCUGAUACCAAGUUCCAGUUGUUUCUCAGAUCAAUACCAGAGCAAUAUUAUUGAAAAAUAUUGGAUUCAUUAAUAAUAAUGUGUUUCUUAUGAGUUAGCCAACUCCACUUAGUCCCGCCUAUUCAAAUCCUACCAUAUCUAGCAAAUUUGUUCCUAAGUCCAUCAAGAGAGCCUUUGAUACCCAUCUAACAGCUUUCCCAGAAUCCAGGCUAGAAACUUGAGAGAUACUCAAAAGGUACGUGUUAGCCUUGACGGAGGAAGAGAUAAGUGACGUCGGCAAGUAAAUCACAUAAAAUUCUGCCCUGACAAUUUGACUGACCAGAUAAGAGGCGACUGGGGCUGGUUGUGGUGGUCCAGCUAGCCCAUGUAGCACACUUGAAGACAAGGGUGUAGGCAUAUAUAUCUCUAGAGAUAUCCAUGGUUCAUUCACCAUAUACCAAUAACAUUGGCAUUGCCAGAAAUAAACCAGGCAGCCAAUUUUCUAGAGAUAUGUAUUUCCCUGUGUGAUUUAGUUAAUGCAAAGCUAUUGGGAUAGUAAAUUGGUCAGACUAAAACCUAUUAAAAAGAACACCAACAUGCCUCCAAUACUAGUUCACCAACUAAAGAUGCUUAAAUAAAUCAGACAAGCACAAUAGCUAUUAUUCACAUAUAUAUUAACACUAGGACGACAAAUAAAUAAAUAAAUAAAAUGUUGAUUCAUCAUUCUAUUUUUCCACAAGUGUGCUAGCUAUGGUGUGUCGAAUUGUUGAUACCCACUCCAGUGCAGAAGAGCGGGCAAAUGAUACACUAUUGGACAGCCAACGAUGCGUGAACUUGUGCUGCAGUUGGUAUUCCAGUGAAUAUUUCAGGUAACAUAAACACUCAAUGUAAAUCCAAGUCAGCAUAACGUAUUUUGCAAGCAAGCUUCUAAGAAGAAAACAUCAGCAGGUGCACAACACUACUGGACAGCCAACGAUGCGUGAACUUGUGCUGCAGUAGGUAUUCCAGUGAAUAUUUCAGGUAACAUAAAUACUCGAUAUAAAUCCAAGUCAGCAUAACGUAUUUUGCAAGAAAGCUUCUAAGAAGAAAACAUCAGAAGGUGCAGACCUGUAGCUACGACGUUCGCUGCGACGAGGAGGACUACGACCACGACGAGGUGGGCUACGGCUGCGGCGGGAUGAACGUUCACUGCGCAGCCUAUCUCGCCGAGGGCUUCGGCUCCUGCUCCGGCUGCGACUCCUGCUCCUACUCCUGCUCCUGCUCUUACUCUUGGUGCUGCUCUUGCUCCUGCUCCUGCUCCUGCUCCUACUCUUGCUCUUGCUUCUGCUUCUGCUCCUGCUCUUGGCCCUACCCACGCUCUUGCCACUGCCGCUGCUGGCGCUUGGUGAUGGACUCACCAUAACUUGAUCCUAGCACAUGAAUUUCAAAAUGAGCGUGGAACGGUCAGACUCCAAACAGAUUCAGGGAGAAGGCCAAAUGAAGGCAAAACCACAUCUACUAAUGGUAAACCUUCCUACUCAGCGAGCUCUAGAAAUUAAAUAACACCCAUGUUAAAGGGCAUGGACACAGACAAGCUUGUCCGACACCAUACAUGUCGGGUACAUGCAUUUCACACCAUCCUCCAGAAUCCAAAUCAACAGAGGGCCAUGGCUACACAUAUAUUUAAGCAUAGCUCGCUACCCCGAAACAAAAUAAGCUGCAAAUGGAAAAAUGUACACUAAAUAAGCAGCGCGACAAUCAACAAACAGAACUCUAGCGCCCGAGAGGAGACUCGUAUCUAAGCCUACCAGCGUAUCCAAUUCAAACCCAGCGUUCAACAGGGGGGUUCAUUUCCAGUAUGGGCUAGGCGUAUGCUACUCACGGACUCGGCGGCCGCCCCGGGUCGGACGGCGACGGCGUGCGAGGAAUGGGACGAUCCAGGGGAGGGGAAGGGGCUCACCAUGGCUCGGGGAGGAGCGUCGGGGUGGGGUGGGCCGCCGCCCGCGCAGAUCUGCCGAUGCCCGAGCGGGAGAGGGCGCGGAGGACGGACGGAUCUGGCGGCGAGGGGCGAGGGGGCGGGAGCAGGGCGGUGGGUGAGGGAGGGAGGCCGCCGUCGGCGGAGUGGGCCGGCGAGGGAGGCGUCGGCGUAGGGGCACGCGGAGGCGCUGGGACGGCGAGGGGGUGGUUGUUUUGGGUGGGAGAAGGCCGGUGCGGUAGUGGUACUGUGCCAGUCGUGCCUGCUAGGGUUAAAAGGUAUGGAAGAAACCGUGGCCCUGCCUCGUUGGUCAGCCAGCGAGUGAGUUAACGGCGGCACCAAGGCCACCGAACUUGCAGUUAAAAAAUCGACUGAACUUGUCUCUGUAAUUUUGUUUUACUAAGCUUGAAGUUUCGAACAAAACUGAACUCGGGCUCUCAAUGUUUAUUUUCGGGGUAAUGUUAUUCAGCGUGGAGUGGCAUGACAAAACGGGGUAUUUUUCGCGGCAUUUAUGUGUUGGAAGCAUGACAAUUCUUUCUAGCGAACACGGCAAUUUUCAUGUGUUUUUCUCUUUGAUGAAAUGAAGAAUAUUAAUGAUAUUGGGCUAUACCUACGGAUAUGCAUGCAUGCCAAUACAAUUUUCAUCAAAAUCACUUAGAAUAUCGAUGACCAACAAAUAUAAGGGAUUGUAGCAGUCUUCGAGGAAAGUAUUUCUACCUAAAUUUAUUGAUUCGACAUAAGGAGAAGCCAAUCUUUUUAUAAGUUUUUAGCAGUUGAGUUGUCAAUUCUCAACCACACCUGAAGAGAUAACUUGCUUGCGUCAAUUUAUUAGUAGCAAAAUAAUAUGAUAGCAAUAUUGAUAGAGCAACAGAAACAGAAACGGUAACAAGUUUGCAGAGUAGUAGCAAGGUGUGGCAGUAGUGAAUGUGAAAGAAACAAUGGAAGUAAAAGUGUAAGCAUGGAAAUAGAUUCAAUAUGCAACAGUCAAAAUUUAAAGCAAUAGCAAACUAGCUUCAAUUCAUCAAUUCUAUAUAGGCAUGCAUUUUAUAAAUAGGCACACGAUGCUUGCAAUAAGCAUUGCAUAACGUUGUCUGUUCUACCCCCCUGUGGUAGCGGUGUCUUAAUAGAAACUAAGAGUAGUUAAUGCACUUUUUUUAAUAAAGAAUCGGGAUAAAGCAUUAACACAUGAUGAAUACAUUAAUCCUCAAGUUAAAGUCAUUCGCGUCGAUAUCCAAGUUAUUGUCACCUUGGGUUUAGAGUUCAGAACGAUAACAGGUGACAUGCAAAUAAGAUCAAGGCCAUUAAUAUAUUUAAGAAAACAUAAAGGAUUCAGAUCUGAAAUCAUGGCAUUCAAGCCGUAGUGACAAGCAUUAAGCAUAGUGAAGUCAUAGCAACAUUAAUCUCAGAACAUAAUGGAUACUAGGGAUCAAGCUCUAACAAAAAUGAAAAUGAUUACAUAAGAAAACUCAUCCAAAUCCCAUCUACCUCAGUAUGCAUAUAGAAUAAUUACUCACACAUGGAUGUGAGCACCAUGAAAUUGUUGAUGGAGAAGGGUUGGUGAUGAGACGACGACGAAUCCCUCUCUCUGAAGCCAGAGACAGACUCCAUAUUAGGUCUCCCGAUGAAGAACAAGAGGUGACAGCGGCUCCGUACGAUAAAACACGGUGAUAAGAGCAACUCCAACGGGGCAACCCAAUCGAACGCGUGCUUUGUCCGCCUUUUGUCCGUUUGGGUCGGCCAGGCGGACACCGGUGUCCGCAUUUUAAAAUGGGUCGGCUUGACCGUCCAACGGGGAGGCCGACCCAAAUGUGACGGCAUGGAAAAAAAACAAGUUGCACGAAAUAAACGCAAUUAAACAUAAAAGUGGCCGGUCAAACGCCGGCCAAAGUCCACCUACAUCUAAUAAACAUUAAAUAAAAACAUUAAAAAAGUCUGCCCCCGCCUGCUGCCGCCCCGCACGCUGCCCUAAACGUCGUCGGCCUUGCCCUUGCCCUUGCCCUCGACGUCGCCGUCGUCGGUGAGGUCGAUGAAGACUGGAGCAGGGCCAACCCACCAGAACGCCGCCUGGUACGCUGCCAGGGCAGCCUCCUCCGGCGUCUGCUGGGGCGGCGGCAUUGCGGCAAGCCGCGCGCGCUCCUCCUCCUCCUCCUCGAGCCGGAGCGCCUCCGCGUCGCGUUGGAGCAUGGCCUCGUAGCGCAUCUGCUCCUCGUCGUCGCCCUGCUCCUGGCGGAGCCAGUGCUCCUUCCAUCGCUCGAGGUGGGCCGCCUCUUCCUCCGGUGUCGCUGCGAAGUAGACGGGAGGCGCGCUCACCCACUCGCGGUACUGGCCCGUCCACGAGUAGGCCUUCUCCGGCCAAAUGGGUGGAGGUGGGGAGCGCUUACGCGACGGCUCCGGCUCCGACUAUACGGGCGGCGACGGCGGAGGCGGCGGCACGAAGAGCGGGGUGUGGACGGAGUCCCCCGCCGCCGACAGGGCAAGGGCUUGCUCCAGCCCAUCCCAGUGCGCGUCCUCCUCGAUGCGGCUAGCCUCCAGCGCGUGCUGCAGGGCCUCCUCGAGGGCGGCUUGGUACUCCGCCUCCGCCUCCAUGUCCUCCGGCUCUACCUGCGGGGGCGGCGGUGGGAACGGCGGCGGGACGACGUCGACACCCGAGCGACGUUGCUCCUCGUGUUCGAGGGCGAACCAAGCCUCCCAGUUAGGAGAGUCGGCGGCGUACUCGGGCAGCCGACGCUGCUCCGGUGUGAGCAGCGCGCGACGCCGACGCACCUCGUCGUCGUGCGCCCGCUGGGUCCACGGAACCGCCGACACCGGGAUCCGGUUUGGAUCCAAAUGCCAAUGGUGCGGCAGCGUCAUGUCGGGGUAGGGAAGGGGCUGCCUGUACUCCCAGUGCCACCGCGCUUGGUGCACCGAGAUGUGCAGGCACCGGCGUCCAGGGCGGAAACGCGUCGGCGGUGGAGGGGGAGGGGGAGCACGGGAUGACGAGGCGUCGGGGGUGCCCUUCCCCUUGCCAUUGCUUUUGCCGAAGAGGCCCAUGGCGCGCUCUAGGGUUUGUGGUCGCCGGCGAGGAAGCAAAGGAAGUGGUGGGGGGCCAGAUGUGGACGGGAGAAGUGGAUGAGGCCGACCCCGCCGCACGCGUGGUUUAAAAAGGACGCGCGCACUGCUGACGCGUGGGCCCGCUGUCGGUGGUCGUCAUAAAUAAGAGACCGGUGGCGGUUGGGUGGCCGCCGGGUGGGGACGCGGCGGACGGCGAGGAGACGCGCGGCGCGUCCGCUUCGCGUCCGCGCCGACGCGUUCCAGGCGUAAUUUUGGGCCGGAAAUGGGUCGGCGCGAACGCCGGGCGAACACGAUUUGAGUUUGGGUCGGCGCAUUGGGCCGCCACUUUUGUCCACGUCGACCCAAACGGACGCGGGCGGACGAAAUGGGUCGCCCCAUUGAAGUUGCUCUAAUUUUUUGUGACUUUUUUGGGUAUAUAUGGGAAUUUAUGGCGGCGCCCAGGGGCCCCACACGGCUAGAUGGCGCGCCAUGGAGGGUGGCUCGCCACCAGGCUGUGGCCCCCUCUAGUACUUUUUCGCUCCAUAAUUCUUUAUUUCUAAAAUAAUUCUUAAAAAAUCCGCUGUCCAAUUUCAAGCACUUUUAUUUCUGCACAAAACAACAUCAAUGCUAGUUCUACUGAAAACAACGUCAGUUCGGAUUAGUUUUAUUUAAAUGAUACAAAAUUAGAGGUCAAAAUAAUAGCAAAAGUAUUUGAAAAAGUAAAUACGUUGGAGAUGUAUCAAAUAUUGGCAGACUUUUUAAUGAUAAGAUUGAAACACAAAAUUCAAAUUUGUGAACCAGGUAAGACAGAAGUGAACCCUAAAAAUCCACCAUAAACACAUAUUAGUAUUACUAUGGUGUGGGCACACACCCUAAUUUCACUCUUGGUGGACAAGAGAUGACGGCACACACAAAAAAACUCAAUUACAUUACAUUUCCUUCAAAAAAAUAUCAAAUAAAUAAUACCCAAUCUAUUCAUUAAUAUAAGACGUCUUUUAGACUUUGACCAAUUCAAAGUCCAAAAAAAUAUCUUCAAGAAAAGGUAUUAUAUUUUGAUACGGAGAGAUAUUAAUAACAGAGGAAAUACAUAUGCAUUGGAGCUGUAGCACGAGUAAGAUUGGGUAAAGAGUUGCUCACCAAGAUCUGUAGACCUCUUGUAUCCCUUCCUUUUAGGUCAACAAGCAUCAUAUGUUUGGAAUGGGUUGGGAUCCUCUGCAGUACUGUAUACCAACCCGUUUGGAAUUAGCCCAAGCUCAAACCGCAAGCUACCAAAUAUUUGACUUGUCAACAUUUUGGUCAAGCUUUAGAUUACUCAUGAGUUGCCAAUACUAAAAACCAAAAUAAACUAGAGUUGUCAAAGAGAAAAAUGACAUCCACCUAAACAUGACAAUUUUGGCCAUAACAAAAAGAAAAAAA
rnacentral:lncRNA from 1 species